UUUCUUCCGUGUCAACAACAAGAAGUCGGCCAACUAUAUAUACUCUACAAUCAAGUAAUACCGAGGUAAGAAUUAAAAGGAGUUCUUUGGCCGGUGGUAGUUUUGGCCUGAGUUGGUGAUCGGCAUCAUGGAGGUGGUUAUGAACAUUCUCAAGACACCAGUGCCCAGUGGGGUGUCUAUGACCCUGGGCCUGUUCAUGAUCUUCCUGGCUCUGCUGUACUGGAUACGGAGUGUGGAAUUCGUCCCUGGCUCAAUGUGGAAUAAGGCACCCCAAACCGUCCCCAUUCUUUGGGAACCUGUUUCUAUUUCGUCAGGGCUUUUUCGGUGUUCACACAGACCUGAUUCACAAGUAUGGGAGAGUAUGUGGAUACUAUCUAGGCAGGAGGCCCGUGGUGGUGGUAGCUGACCCUGAUAUGCUCAGACAGAUCAUGGUGAAGGACUUCAGCACCUUCCCCAACAGAAUGACAAUCCGUGCCGCUACUAAGCCCAUGAGUGACUGUCUGCUGAUGCUGAGGAACGAGCACUGGAAGAGAGUACGCAGCAUCCUCACCCCCUCCUUCAGUGCAGCCAAGAUG